rnacentral:rRNA from 1 species
UACAGAGGGGGCAAGCGUUAUUCGGAAUUAUUGGGCGUAAAGGGCGCGUAGGCGGCGUAACAAGUCACUUGUGAAAUCUCCGGGCUUAGCCCGGAGCGGCCAAGUGAUACUGUUGUGCUAGAGUGCGGAAGGGGCUACUGGAAUUCUCGGUGUAGCGGUGAAAUGCGUAGAGAUCGGGAAGAACAUCGGUGGCGAAAGCGCUCUGCUGGACUGCAACUGACACUCAGGGACGAAAGCUAGGGGAGCGAAUGGG